rnacentral:rRNA from 1 species
GACUCCUACGGGAGGCAGCAGUGGGGAAUAUUGGGCAAUGGAGGAAACUCUGACCCAGCGACGCCGCGUGAGGGAUGAAGGCCUUCGGGUUGUAAACCUCUUUCAGUAGGGAAGAAGCGAAAGUGACGGUACCUACAGAAGAAGCACCGGCUAACUAUGUGCCAGCAGCCGCGGUAAUA